rnacentral:rRNA from 1 species
UACGUAGGGACCAAGCGUUGUUCGGAUUUACUGGGCGUAAAGGGCGCGUAGGCGGCAAUUCAAGUCAGCUGUGAAAUCUCCGGGCUUAACUCGGAACGGUCAGCUGAUACUGCUUUGCUAGAGUACAGAAGGGGCAAUCGGAAUUCUUGGUGUAGCGGUGAAAUGCGUAGAUAUCAGGAGGAACACCGGUGGCGAAGGCGGGUCUCUGGGCCGUAACUGACGCUGAGGAGCGAAAGCGUGGGGAGCGAACAGG